AUUGAACGCUGGCGGCAUGCUUUACACAUGCAAGUCGAACGGUAACAGGCCUUCGGGUGCUGACGAGUGGCGAACGGGUGCGUAAUGCAUCGGAACGUACCCAGAGGUGGGGGAUAACGCAGCGAAAGCUGUGCUAAUACCGCAUGUGAUCUGAGGAUGACAGCGGGGGACCGAGCAGCAAUGUUUGGCCUCGCGCCUUUGGAGCGGCCGAUGUCGGAUUAGCUAGUUGGUGGGGUAAAGGCCUACCAAGGCGACGAUCCGUAGCUGGUCUGAGAGGACGACCAGCCACACUGGAACUGAGACACGGCCCAGACUCCCGCGGGAGGCAGCAGUGGGGAAUCUUGGACAAUGGGCGCAAGCCUGAUCCAGCAAUCCCGCGGGCGGGAAGAAGGCCUUCGGGUUGUAAACCGCUUUUGGCAGGAACGAAACGGUGUCCGCUAAUACCGGGCGCUAAUGACGGUACCUGCAGAAUAAGCACCGGCUAACUACGUG
rnacentral:rRNA from 1 species